rnacentral:antisense_RNA from 1 species
CUGAGCCCGCCGAGUCCACAGCAGCUACAACCGUGGUGUUCUUGAUUUUAUUCUGCAGAGUGAGCUCUCCACGUUUGCUUUCUGGAGGACCCAGGUGACCGCUCACCUCCCCUUCCUCCUGGAGCCCUGAAGUCGGAGGCCCUGAGCCAUGGACGGUAUCUGAGGAUCGGUUUAGCGUAUCUGGCCGGAGAAAUUGGCAACAUUUGCUACGAAUAAAACCCAAGCGUUUCCAGCAGCCAUUUUGAAUUAAGUUUCCCACCCGACAAGCCGUCGUCCCCUCCACUGCACAUCCAGGAUCCGGUGGAGGAGAAAGGCGCCGGGCGGAGGGUUGGGGAGGGCCGGUUCCUGCGGGUUCCUCUUAGGCGGCCGCGCGAAGCCCAGGCUCGGGGGAUCUCGGUGGCAGGCGCUCAGCUAACUUGGGGAAAGGACGUCCAUGGCCGUGGGGCCGACUGUCAACGGGCUGCACCUAGGGAUCCCAACCCCAAGGCCCUCGGAGAGCCGGGAGGCUCCUCCUCAGCUCCUCGCACACUCCCCUCCCUUCGCAGAUGGCCCCCACCGCCCCCCGAAGAAAGUUCCUUCAAAUGUUCCUGCGGUAGAGCCUUUCAUUUUGUCUCUGCGAAGUGGCAAAGCAGCUAGUAUUGCGAGGGGCCUAGAUGUCGCUUGUCUCAGCCCAUAAAAAAGAAAAAAGA